ensembl:misc_RNA Metazoa_SRP Metazoan signal recognition particle RNA
GCCGGGCAUGGUGGCGGAGGCCUGUCAUCCAAGCUACUCUGGAGGCUGAGGCAGGAGACUUGCUUGAACCCGGGAGGUGUAGGAUGCAGUGAGUCGAGGUCGCACCACUGCACUCCAGCCUGGGUGACAGAGUGAGACUCUGUCUCAA